rnacentral:lncRNA from 1 species
GCGCUCUUCUUUCAUGGCACAGGCGCUGUACGAUCUGGGAGCGAGGAAGUUCGCGCUCAUCAACGUGCCGCCGGUCGGGUGCUGCCCCAUUUCGCGAGUCAUGCAUCCCUUGGGAGCGUGCCUCGAUGGAUUGAACGCCUUGACCAAGGGCUUCAACGACAGAGUCAGCGUCCUCAUGAAGAAUCUUAGCUCGGAGAUGGAAGGGAUGAAGUACACGAUCGGGAACUCGUACAACGUCGUCAUGAACAUAGUUUCUGACCCCGCAGGAGUCGGUAAGCUCGGAUCGACAUCACAUGUGGCGAAGAGAUGGAUGGGAAGUGGCUAAAUCGUGUACUGAGUGAGUGUUGCUGCUGUUGCUGCAGGUUACAAGGACGUGAGCAGUGCUUGCUGUGGGUCGGGGAAACUGGGGGCAGAGGUCAUGUGCUCGCCCAACACCACCUUCUGCACCAACCGCAACGAGUUCCUGUUCUGGGACAGGAUUCACCCGACGCAAGAGACGUCGGAGAAGGCGGGUUUCGAGUUGUACGGUGGGGCAUCGGAGUACGCCAGUCCUAUCAAUCUGAAGCAGCUGGUGGAGAGUUGAAGAAGGGAAUGGCGUUGAUGUUGUUAGCAGAAGCUAGAUGAUGUAAGAGGGAGGAAUAAGUGCUCUUGCACUUCGUGCUGAGCACGAUGAGAUUGUGGUUUAUGAAUAAGUAGUGAUUCGAAUGGAGGCAUCCUUUCGUUUGCAGAUUGAUCCACUCGCAGGUUGGCAUCAACUCGGUUUCCAAUCUAAUUACAACCUCAUAUAUGACAAGUACAUCAUUAUCGGGACGAAAGAGAGGCAUACGUGUCACUCGAAGGCCCAUUGGUUCUCCCUCCGAACCUCUUCCUCUUCUUCGGGGAUGAAGUCAUUCUUGAUGUUGAAGGUUUUACGGAUCUCCUCGGGCGUCUUCCCCUUGAUCAUGUCGGCCACAGUUUGGCACGUCAAAUCCAGCAGCCCUUUUAUGUUCAGGUAAUUUGCUGCCUGAAUACACCACCAAAUCAUAGAAACAAAGAAGGCCACAUAAUAAGCUUGAUAUGUAUGCCAAAGCAAGCAGUUGCAUAGCAUUAGAACCUGAACACACUGCCCACGUGGGUAACACAAGGUAGAGUAAUAUGAUCAAGGAAACUAUAGAAUCUUCCCUCAAUCUACUCUGAGCAAUUUCCUUGACAUCCAUGCUUUCAAGAGGCACAUAUGGGUAAUCGUAACAACAAAGCAAACUCAACGUGAAGGACAGACGCUUCAACAAGGGGAUCAAUGCCAAACUCACAGCAUGGGUGAUCUGUUUCCAAUUUUCUUAUUAAGCAUGUAAACUAUCGCAUUGGAGAUACAUUAAAAAAUGCUCAAACUCAUUCUCCGUUUAAAAAUUUUUAUACUAAUUCUACUUUUUAUCUCAAAUUAAACCAAAAUAUAUUGAUGAAACUCUAAAAGAUGAUUCAUGGGUUUUUACAGGAAUUAAAUUAAUUUAGGAAAAAUGAGGUGUGGAAGCUUGUCCCUAGACCUAGUGACAAUCUUGUAAUUGACAUUAAAUGAGUCUUUAGAAAUAAGCAAGAUGAAUUUGGUAUCGUGGUUCAAAACAAGGCUAGCUUAAUGGUCAAAGAUCUCAAUCAAGAAGAAUGUAUCGAUUAUGAAAAAACAUUCGCUCCGACGACGAGAUUAGAAGCUAUAAGGAUACUCCUUGCCUAUGUUAGUUAUAAUAAUUUUAAGUUAUUUCAAAUUAGUGUUAAAAGUAUUUUUCUUAAUUGUUUUAUUUUCGAAGAAAUUUAUGUUGAACAACUAUCUGGUUUUAAAAAUAUUUAUUUUCCAAAUCAUGUUUAUAAGUUAUCUAAGACUCUUUCUGGAUCGAAACAAGCCCCAAGGGAUUAGUACGAGAAACUUAGUUCAUUUCUUGUUAAGAAUAAUUUUUUAAAAGACAAGGUUGAUACCACAUUAUUUAUUAAAUAUUUAAAAAAUAAUUUUUUUAUAGUUUAAAUUUAUAUUGAUGAUAUCAUUUUUGGUUUUCCAAAUGAAUCUUUACGUGAUUCUUUUGCCAAUAGUAUGAGCCAAGAAUUCGAUAGGAGUUUAAUAGGUGAAUUAACUUUUUUUCUUAGGAUUACAAAUUAAGUAACUUAGUGAUGAAAUAUUUGUUAGUCAAACUAAGUAUGCUUUAGAUAUAUUAAAAUUAUUUAAUAUGGAUAGUGCUAAGGCUAUUAAUACACCAAUGAGCACUUUUACAAAAUUAUAUAUGGACAUUGAUGGAUAAUGUUUUGAUAAAAAACUUAUAUGGGUAUGAUAGAUAGUUUACUAUACCUCGCAAGACUAGACCGGAUAUUAUAUUUAGUGUUGGAUUUUGUAUUAGAUUUUAAUCUAAUCACAAGUAAACUCACUUAAAAGUUGUUAAAAGGAUUUUUAGAUACUUAAAAAGAACUCCUAAAUUAAGUUAGUUUUAGGUGAAACCUCAUUAACUCAAUUCAGAGCCAAUUGGGCCUGAAUCAUGGCUUAAUUGGGCCUACUAUUUGGCUCAUUCAGUGACCUAGAGCUAGGUCAGAUGGUGGCACCGCUAGGGCUGGCGGUGGAACCGCUUGAGCCUCAGCCUCCCAAGUAGUAUCUAGGCGGUGGUAUCACCCAAACAUAAUCUUCUAGGCUAUGUCAAGCAGUGGUACCACCCAAUGUCAGUCUGACAGGCGGUGGUACCACCUAGUGUUAGACUGACAGGUAGUGAUAUCGUUAGUUGUUAGUCUGGCAGGCGGUAGUACCACCUAGUACUGGCGAUGGUACUACCAAUAUCCUGAAAACCCAGGAUGAGAUCGUUUUAGUUCUAAAUUUGAAUCUAUUUGGAGCUUAUAAAUACCCCACUCUUUUCUGCUUGAGGAUGCAUGAAAAAAAAACAAAAAGCCUUAAAAAAGUGCUAAUUGUCCUCCUCCUCCUCCUUACGUUUUGUGAUCAUUCUAAGAGAGGUGUGAGACUUGUAAACGUUAUCUCAUAAAUAUGUGAAAAGAAGAAAGAGUUGUAAGAGAGUAGUUGGUCUUUGCCCAUGAAAAGAAUACCGUUAGUGAAUGCCGGUGGCCUUGACAGAAGAGAAAUCGGGAGUGGACGUAGGUUACGACGAUUGAACUACCAUAAACUUGGUUUCUAUUUAUAUUUAUCAUUUUCUGCUAUUACUUUCUAAGUUAAUUUCUUAAUUCACUUACUUUAAAUAAAGCACAUUUCCGAUACAAUUUUUCAAUCGAACGAAAAUUUUUCAAACUGUCAAAGUUUUACGAAAGCACUAAUUCAUCCCCCCUACACCAACCCCCCCCCCCCCCCCCCCCCCCCUCUCCCCUAGUGUCAAAACGAUCCUAACAUAAGCUACCCACGCAUAAAGGUAUAAUUCCCAAGAUAGGAAAAUGGAGAUUCGACCAGUUGGAUCUCUAGGGCCUAAAUUUUUUUUGUUUUCAUAGAACUCCAAAAGAAUCCAAGGUGGAAAUAGCUUCAAUCCAACUAAAUGAAGAUGCAAUCCAAUGAUAUGAUUGAUACAAAACAUACCACAAGGUCUCAUCGUGGGAACAAUUCAAGAGAGGGCUUCUCAUUCACUUUAGACCAUUUGAAUAUGAGAAUGUUGAUGGCUAGCUCACUAAAAUUCAUCAGAUUUCUACGGUGCUAGAAUAUCAUAAUAAAUUUGAAUGAUUGUUAAAUCAAGCCAAAGACUAAUCUAAACAACAACUGAUUGUGAAAUUUUUUUGUUUUCACAUAAUUCCAAAAGAAUUUAAGGUGAAAAUAGCUUCAAUCCAACUAAAUGGAGAUGCAAUCUAAUGGUAUGAUUGGUACAAAACAUACCACGAGGUCUCAUCGUGGGAACAAUUCAAGAGAGGGCUUCUCGUUCACUUUAAACCAUUUAAAUAUGAGAAUAUUGAUGGGUAGCUCGCUAAAAUUCAUCAGAUUUCUACAGUGCUAGAAUAUUAGAGCAAAUUUGAAUGAUUGUUAAAUCAAGCCAAAGAUUAAUCUGAACAACAACUGAUGGAAAUAUUUAUUGAAGAACUUAAUCCAGAUAUUUAGUAUGAAGUCAAAGCUCGCCAACCCUAUAUUAUAACAGUCGCAGCCUCAUUUACACAUUUAUAUGAUGAAAAAAUCAGUAGGGAGAAUCGUCGAAACAUAAAUGGCAAUAAAUAGAUGAUCAACAAGCCAUCCACCCUAUCUAUUCCUAAUCGAAACCCUAAUCUCUGAAGACUAACCCGAGAAGAACUUAAGGAAAGAUCAGUGAAGGAUUUAUGCUAGCAUUGUGAUGAAAAUGUGAGUAAGGAGCACUGAUGUAAACAAGGGCAACUUUUGAUGAUUAAACCAAUUGAGGAGGAACCAAAAGCUGACAAUGUAGACUUCGAUCAUGAAGGUGUGGAUUCUAAUAAAUAUGUAGGACCUAUCAUACAUAUAGUGUAUGCACUGACCGGUUAUUCUGACUCACAAACUAUGAAAAUUGAAAAAACUUUGGAACAUCAGUCUAUUAUAGUUUUGAUUGAUAUUGAUAGCACUAAAAAUUUUAUAGAUAGUAAAGUUGUUGAUCGAUUGGCCUACCAUAUUGAAGGUUGUGGCAAAUUUGAAGUAAAGAUCGUCAAUAGAUGGAUUUCAACUUCUGAUAGCAGGUGUUUGAAGAUAAAAUCGAUUAUACAAGGCUAAGAGUUGCUUGUAGAUUAUUUUUGCUACCCUAGGAAGACUUCGAAGUGGUGUUUGGAAUUAAAUGGCUAUCAACCCUAGGUGAUGUUUCUUAGAAUUUUUCUAAACUAAUCAUGAAGUUUUUUUUAUUAAUGGAAGGUCUGUGAUCCUUAAGGAAAGAUGUGAAAGUAAGGUCACAACUGCCACUAGCCAUCGGAUGGAGAUGAUUCUUCAUAAGAUUACUACACUAGAAAGCUACCUCAUUGCUUACACUAUCAAAAAAGUGGAGACCCUAGUUACUUGAUUAAAGAGUUGUGAUGCGCUGCAGUUGACCUGUAACUGAAGUGCUGAGAGUUUCUCUUUAUUGAAGGGGAAGAAAUUAUAAGGAUUUAUUUUAUUUUCUAAGCUUUGAAUAAUAUUUUAUUGAAUUUAUCUAGAGUUGGAUAGGAGUUUAUUUAAUAUUUAUUUAUUUAUUAAGAAUUAUGAUGGACUAUAAAUAUGAAUGUAUCUGUUUCUUUUUAUCUAUCUAUGAAAUAUUAUUUCAGUCUUUUGACAAACCUUAUGAGGUCAAUCCCUUGAAGUGAUCAUCCCUUUUCUUUUCCUUCGUUGAAUAAUGAAAAAAUACCACCUUAGGUGUUAUUUUCUCAUUUGCAAUCAUAGCCUUUUACCCAAAUCAAGAUGUGAGUUUAUUGUAAUGAUAGGUCGACUUUGUAAUAUGUAGAUAAAUAAUUAAUCUUAUAUAGACUUAAUCAUGGAUCGGUUUGAAUUGAUCUAAGUUUUGGAAACUGGAAUAAUCAAUUCCAAAAUUAUCGAUUUGAUGAUUUUUUUUUAAUAUAGAUGGAUUGGUAAACUGUUGGGCUCAAAUGGUUGGGCCCAACGGUUUGCUCCUGGCCUAACGAUAAUGACCAUAUUUAGGAGUAUUUUAAUUAUUUUAUAAAUAAAAAUAUAAAAAGGUUUGAAAAAAAAGAUUUGCCCUUUCCAACAACCACAUAUAGUUUUAAAGGUAUUUAAAAAAAUUAAAACUCUAUAAAUACCCUUCAAAUCUCUUAUAUUUUCUCACACCUUGAUCAUACACUCAUUCAAGUUUGAGCGCUCUUAAGCUCUCUUUUAAACUCUUUUUGUUAUUUUCUUGAUUCCAUGACAAGUGAAAAUCACAACUUCACAACCAAGGAGCCUUUCAAAAAUACAAUCAUAAUAACUCAAGAAAGCAACACUUGACUCAGACAUCAUUAAUAUUAAUGACCAAAAUCAAGUCAGACAUAUUCAAUAUAUACUUCAAGAAAAUUCUAAAUGCUAAUAUCUCAUUCUAUGUAGUAUGCAAUUAGUGUACUUAAGUUUUCAAGUUCAAAAAAAGAGGAGGAUAUAGAACAUUCCAAAAGCAUAUUGAAAAAAAACAUCAAAUGCAAACUAGUACGAAGAGAAGUCAAAUUUAAAUUUUUGGAUAGCUUACUUUUACCAUUUUUUUAAUUUUUCUGUUGAAAAAAAUCAUGAAGCAUUAACUAGAUUAGUCAUAGUUGAACAUUUAUCUUUCAAUUAUGGUAAAAAAAAUAAAUUUAUUUAUUAUUGUUAAGAGGUUUUAAAUCCCACCACAUAAGUUCCUCGUACCACUAUUACUCACAAAUUAUAUAAUCUUUAUAAAAAAAUUUCGAGCUUAGGAUGAUUAUGUUUUCAUUUGUACUUAUAUUUAGAGUGAUCACUAGCAAAUGCAUUCCUACAUGCAAGUCACUUGUUAUUGGAUAGGUAAUGAUUGGAUCAUGUAAAAACAUAUUAUUGCUUUUAGAGUUUUCGAAGAACGACAGAUAACCAAUAAUAUUUAUACAAUGAUAAAAAUAAUUUUCAAAGAAAUAUUAUUUGAUUUUUAAAAUUUUUCAAUUGGUUUUGAUAAUCAGUUGACAAAUAUAGUUUUUAUUCUAGAAUUAUAAGUAGUUUGUCAACCUGCUUUUGAUGGUAUCUUUUUCCAUGUUAAAUGUGUUUAUCAUAUUUUGAAUUCAUGUGUACAAGAUGGACUUAGAUCUUUUGAAAUUUUUCUUUCGCAAUGCAUUCUUGUGGGGUCAUCCAUAAUUAAUGAAAGAAUGAGACAGAUUUUAUAAUUUAAAUGACAAAAGACCCAAAAAAUUUCAUUGAACUAUUCGUACUCGAUGAAAUUCCAUAUAUGAGUUGUCAAAGAAUCUUUUGAAUAUAAAGAACUAUUAUGUAUUUUCAUUGAAAAUAAUAUUAGAUAAGUUUGUUUAUAUCAAUAGCAUUGGAAUGUAUGUGAAUUUUUUUAAAAAAAUUUAAAAGUUUUUAAUAAUGUAGUGUUUAUUAUCCUAUUACAUAUAUUUUUAGUUGUUUGUAUUAAUAUUAUUGAUGUAUUAGAAGAAUAUAAAAAUGAUGAUUAUUUAAUAAUAAUAAUGACUAUAAAAUUAAAAUGGAUAAAUUAUUUUCUUAAAGUUUCAGUUAGUUGCAUGUGUUUUUUAUUCUCGUAUUAGAUUAGAUGGGUUAGGUGAUUAUUUAUCAAUUUAUUAUGAAAGUUUAAGAGUAGAAAUUAAUAUUUGUAAUCAAAUUAGAGAUAUUAAAAAAUUAGUCAAUAACUUAUAUAUGACCAUUAUAGUGCUAAUUAUAGUAAAGAACAAGUUAGUAGGGGUAGUAAGACUUUAAGUGAGAAAAAAUAUUAGUAUAAAUAUUAAAAAAAUCAAGGGGAUCCUAAGCUUGAACUUGACCUUGAUAUGUAUCUAAUUUCUUUUGAGUUUAGUGAAAGUACUUCAGGUAUAGAGUUUUUUAUUUUAGAAUAGUGGGUGCAAUAUUUUCAAUCUUGAUAAAAAUCGCAAGACAAAUACUAGAGACUCUCGUGUCAAUAGUAAUUGUCGAAUAAACUAGAUCAAGCAUGACCUCCGAAUCAAUAGAAGCUCAAGCAUGCCUUCAUAAUUGGAUAAAGGCGAUGAAAUAAAAACAAGAUAUCGUUUACGAAUAAAAUCAUUUCCUAUUCAACAUAUAAAUCAAAGGGAUUCUCAGAGCUAUAAUGUUUGACAAUGAUAAUAAUUAUAAUUAAAUAUUUAUAAUUUUACUUAAUUUAUAAAAAAAUUUGUUAUGUCAUUACAAAUUUACACUAAUUAUGUCAUUAUGGAUGUACAUCAUUUUUUAAAUUUAAAAAUAAAUUUAUGUUUUAUAUUAUGUUUUUUUCAAAUAAUAUUAAAAAAUUAUCCAUUCAAACAAGAAUUGAAACCAAAACUGUUGUUUCGAUUUCAAUUCUAGUUUUUGCUAUACUGAAACGGGUAGCUUCGGAUCUGAAAUCGAUGAUUUUGAAACUAUGAUUAGGUCUAGUCUGAAAGCACCGAGAGAUAUUUUGAAUAUAAAAAUUAUACGUGUGAAAUAAAAUAUUAAGGUGGAGCAAAAAAUCUUCUUAUGUUACUAAUUAGAUUAAAGAAAAUUAAGCUUAAAUAGGUCUAGGUUACCAUUAAUGAGCCUGAGAUCUUAGGUUGUGGUUGUGUUUAAUGUCCAAGUAUAAUACUCAAGACUCAAUUAACAAGAGAGAAUCUACAUGACAUCAAAAUUGGCAUGAUCUUGGUGAAACAGAGAAACAUGUUUGAUCCUGCAGAACUGAUAUUGUAAAUGGUAAUUCACAAUAAGGAUUGCAGAAGUAACUUUAAUCGGUAGGAAAUUGAUGGCAUAUCGAAAUAUUGAUCCACUUUUAGAAGAACGGACUGAAGUGUUAGUACGGUGCUUUAGUUUUUCGAGUAUCUUUCUUUAAUCAAGAUUUGAUGGGAAUGAUUUUUAGUUGUGAGAAAUUAGCAUAAUAAUUUUCGAUGUUGGCUAUUUAAGACACUAAUAAAAGAUUAGACAUAAGACUUGAUUUAGUCAAUUUAUCUACAAACCCCUAAUACUAAAUUUAUCCCUUUUUCUAUGAAUUAAUAAUGAUAUCCUUAUUUAUUAUAGACUAUAAAAUUAUCUUUACGAAUGGAAUUUUUUUUAUUCGAUUCAGACGGAUACAAUCUUUUCUCUCUCUCUCUCUUAUCCCUAUCCUUCGUUGUUUAGACUAUGAUUCAGUCCAUUCACAAUAUUAGAAUUAUGAUAUCUAUGGAAUGUGAUUGAGAACAUUAUCAUUUGCUUAGCUUCUUUUGAUGAAUUUUAAAUUAUACAUAUAUUUCAAAAAAAAAAUUAUCCGACUAAUUGCUACGAUUAAUAGUGUGAAUCUAUUUUAGAGGGAAGAUUAUGCGUGAAAAAGAAUAUGGUAGACUUGAUAUGGACAUGCAACCUACCAUAUCUUUUCAAGUGUGGACGUGAUUAUGAGCUUUGUCACCAUGGCUUUUCAUGUACACAUCGACUCUUGCAUUUGAUUUGCUACCCGCACGAAGAAAGAUCUUAGCAACUUAAGCAAUUUGUCAUAAAAAUAAGAUUAUUUUUAUAAUUAAAAUUCUCUAAUAUCCUAGUUCUUAAAUUUAAAAUUUUAUAUAUUUUUUUUAUAAUUAGACCUCUUUAGUAUCUCGGUCCCUAAACUUAAAAAAUUUAUAUUAAAAUCUCUAUGAUUAUGAAAGUAAAAUUUUUAACAUCAUUUACCCUAACGUCGUCGUCUUUAUCAACGAAAGAUAUAUAUUGAGUCAAAAUUAUCUUUUUGUCAAUCGUUUUUGUGUCAUUCAUGACAUCGAUAAAGUCGACCGCUGCAUCGUUCUCACCUAUCACCAUCACAAUAAUUACCCACAAUGUCAUCGUCUGCUACUAUCAUUAAACUUAUCUUUUUGUCUAUUUAUGCAUGUAUUGUCACACACUAUAUUUUCCAUUAGUAAAGCCCGACAAUGUUAGAAUAAAUGAGGUUAAAUUAUUCACUUCCAUAUCUAUAGAGAUUUCAAUAUAAUUUUUUAAAGUUUAAGUACCUAAAAAUUAUAAUUAUAGAGGUUUUAAUAUAAUAAUCGAUAUACUAAAGAAGUCUAACCGAAUUAAAAAUAAUACCAGUGGUUUAUAACGAUGUUUAAUCUUCCUUUACAUCGAUGGUCACAUCAUAAUUUAGUGUCUGUCACGCACAUGAAAGAGAAGAUAGAUGAGCCGACUAUUAUAAAUUGAAGUAUUUUAAAUCGAUGAAUUGAUGUUGAGCCCAUUCUACAAGACUAUUUCGAUAUUUAUAUCAGUGAAAUUUGAUAUGAGAAUUAGAAAGUGUUUCAAAUUAAGGAUUAGAGAGUCAAAGAUAUUUUCUUCCGCAUUGAUGUCAUCAAUUAAAUUCGAUGUAACAAGUGUCAAAAUGAUCUCCACGCAUGCCGACGUGAGUGACUGACGGUGAAGGAAUUGGCUCCAUGAUUGUGGAGGCGAGUAAAGCCUCAAAUCUGUCAUACAUUUAAACCUCGUCUCCUCGGGAAGAAGGCUGUGUGCUUCUCUACUUAAUUCUUAUCCAUCUCCAAAGCACUUCAACGUGUGGCCCUAAUAAUUAAACCCUCCUCUAUGGCUGCCACCUUCCCUGCAAGAUCACGGGGAAAGUAAUAGAAUAGUUAUUCCAUUAGAGCCGGAUCGUGUCGGUCCAACAUGUAAAACUGAUAUGAUAAUUAUUGGGUCCAUGGAUUCGUCCAUGAGCUGUUCGACAAAAGGAACAAAUCGGAUUGUGCUGUCAACUUAAAUUCACGUGUUAGCUCUGUGUUCAAUGAUUCAGGUUGGACAAAUUAAUCCAAGUAUGUAUGCAAUCCAUGAGAUGGAAUCACAGCCUGGAGAUGUGCUUGGACUGUUCCCAGACUCAUGUUUCAACUGUUCUACACAGUAACAAUCGAAUCCUAUUGAUUGCACCGUCAACUUUUAUCUCCUUCUGGUCCAAACCCACGCUUUUCAGGGUUCACAUUGGCCAAAUCAAAGUUUAGAUAUAUAUAUAUAAUUCAAUGACAUGAUUGAGGGCUGCUAUUCUUUUCUCGUGCUUUGGUUUCCUGUGCUGAUGGGUCAAACUUGAUCGUCCAUCUAACGCGGACUAAAAAGACAAGCUCCUUUUUUGUCUUGAGCAUUGAUAUCUAUCGCAUGCUCGAAGAACACUUGAUGAAACUGAAGACAGCGGCUUUGAAGGAUUGUUGAUCUCCAAGUAAGGGUGUUAAGAAAAUUUAUAGAUAUACCGUACAUUAUGUAGAGUCUUUUGUGAGUGAGAUAAUAUAUUUCUGUGUGAAAGAGUUGUUCCAGCAUCCUCUUCUUCUUAUCAUAUGAGAAGAUAAUUCUCAGAAGAACAUCAGCAGCAUUAUUCUCCGUUUUGAUUUGAUAGUAUUUAGAUGAGUUGGAGAGAGCAGAUUAAUUUGAUAGUAUUUAGAUAAGAUGAUUUGAUAGUAUUUAGAUGAUUUGAUAGUAUUUAGAUGAUUUGAUAUCAUGCUAACCUAAUUUGUUUAAGCACCAUAGUGUUCUUUGAUUUAUCUUAUCUUCCAUCGAGACUAAAAUCCUUUUAUCUUUCGACUUAUGUUGACUCGGAUAGAAUCAACUUAUUAAAUAUUUGAAUAAAUAUUAAAUUAUUUUGAUAAAAGAGAUGAAUUCUUCGAAGUUCAACCAAAUUCACUAGUGUCGAUUCUUCUCCCACACUUUUUGUGUAAGUAUAAAAAUAUAUAAUUAUGCUAUUAUUAUACAAAAAGUUUUGAUAUCAGAAACUGAAAUUAAAUAAUAAUAUAUCAUAUUUAUAAUAUAUACAUUUUGAUACUAUCAAGAAUGUUUUUAUCUAAUCUAUAGGUACAUUGACAGAUUCAAAAAUCAAUUUUCAAAAAGUUGAUACUACUACAAGUGAUAGAUUAGGGAAUAAGAAAAUUAUAAAUAUCUAUAAUCUCAAUGAUUGAUUGAGUUUUCGUAAGAGUUCUUAUCAUUUUAUAGACAAAAAUAAAAAAAUCUGGUAUGAAUAAUUAGAAGAGUCCUUUGUGAUCUUCCAAUCUUAUCAUAAUUAUAUUUUUCUUUUUAUUGAUAGAUAAUAAUCAUCAAACUCUAAUUAAAUUUAUAAAACAUCUUAUAUAAUUAAACAAUACCAUAUAAUUUAAUAAUGGUAGGAUGAAUUUCUUCUCCAUAUCUAACAAUACAUUAUUUUAAUGUUGAUGUUCAUGUUUUUUUUUAUCUUUCGACUGUUCCACAAGGAAACAAAUUCUAAUCAUUCUAUUCAAGCCACGCGUUUCACGUUCACCGUAGACAAAUCUAAUCGUAUUAAUAUAAUCCAUGAAAUGAAUGGUUCAGAGUCUAACGUGGCUGCUGCUCUUCCUUCCUGUGCUCUCUAUAAACAGCUCCAACUUCUGAGCUAAAUGGCACUCGACACCAACUCUCCAUUCUCCACCCUCGGCGUAGUAGAGAAGAGCAGAGAUUCGAGAUGAAGCUCGCCGUUCCUCUUCUCCUCCUUGCUGUCAUCUCUGCUGCCUUGUCCGCGGUCUCGGCCGCGCUGCCGAAGGUCCCCGCCGUCUACGUCUUCGGCGACUCCACCGCCGACGUCGGCAACAACAACUACCUGCCGGGGAAGGAUGCCAAGGCGGACUUCCCCCACUACGGCGUCGACUUCCCGCACCAGACUCCCACCGGACGGUUCAGCAAUGGCUACAACACCAUUGAUUUCUUAGGUGCGUGGUUGACUGGUGUCAUGAUUUGAUUUUUGGGGCGAUAAUAUUUCCUUUUUCUUAAAAAAAAAUAAGAAGAAGUAAGAGAUUCAUCAUUUUUUUUCACAUCUAUAAUUCUACCAAUAUUUAUUAAUUAUGCAUUAAAUCAUUAUCAAUGAUUUAAGGGUGACACUGUAUAAUAAUAAAGUUAUUACUUUGCAACAUGAAAUGUUAGUCACCAAAACAACCUCUCCAAAUGCAAAGAAGCAUAUAAUUAUUUUUUAUAUUUAAUUUGGGGCAGCUUUUUUUAAAAAAAUUCAUAUUUUGGGUUUUUUUUAUUGAGGUAUUUUUUAAUAAUAUUUAUGAUGUUUUAUUGAGGUAUUAAAAUAUUAUAAAGAUUGUUAAAAAAAUUAUAAAUAACAUCAUAUUAUGCCUUUUUUAUUGUCGUUGCUCGUAGUUCAUUACGAUAUUAUAUUUUUUAGCUUAUAGUUUAUUUGAUUGAGGUUAAGAUUCUAUUUUGUUCAUUUAUAAUGUUUUUAAGUAGGCCGUGUUUUUAUUAUGGUGAUUAAAACAUAAUAAUAACUUAAUUUUUUAUUUGAAUUUAGAUGAUAUUAUUAUUAAACUAUUAUACUUAUUUGAAUCAUAAUAUGAUAUAUCUAACAAUUUUUAAUAUAUUUUGAUUAUAUUUAGCUUAUUUUCAAGUAGUUUUUAUAGUUCUUUUAUUGUGGUGUUCAGAAACACUAUCAUAGAUUAAAAAAAAUAGUUUAGAUAAUUUUUAUAUUAGAGGUAUUAUUUGAAAAAAAAAUAAAAUAAGAAUAUCGAUUGAAAAAUAACUCAAAAUAUGAAUAUUUUCUGAAAAAUCGUUCUUUAAUUUACAAUCCAAACUGUUUUUAUAUACUAAUUCAAUAAAGCAGCAACAGAACAUGACUGAUGAAUGAAUGAAUCACGUGAAUCACAUGGUGAUCGGAGCUCCAAUAACUCCAAAAUGCAAACGACCCUAUCCGAGUGAACAGUAAUUCCAAUAAAUCUAUUAUAAUUUGGUGCACAACAAUUCGUAGGACUUGAAUUAACACCAUCAUGUGAUCUAUUAGAAUUUGGGGUUUUUAUCUUAGCACUUGUGAAGGAAGUGAAUCAAUUUGUGUUCAAUGUGGGCAGCAAUUCAUAUGGGGUUCAAAAGAAGCCCACCACCGUAUGUCGCUGUGGUGAACAAACCCCACCCGCUCAUCCUAAGAGGCCGGCGAGGUGUGAGCUUUGCCUCCGGCGGAUCCGGAAUCCUCGACUCCACUGUGAGCUUUCCUCCGCCUCUCAUCAACUCAUCCUUUUCCCUUCUGCAAUGAUGGCCUACCCUAACCCUCCGACCAUCUUCAUCUUCCAGGGCACCACCAUAACUAUGACAAAGCAGAUCCAAGACUUCGCUGCACACGAAUCCAACAUCGCCUCGCGAGUCACCUCGGCAGUAGCCAAGGGACUGCUGUCCAAGUCCGUCUUCCUCAUCAGCUCCGGCGGCAACGACGUCUUCGCCUUCUUCUUCGCCACGGGCGGCAACGCGACCGCCGACCAGACCGAGCAGUUCUACAACGUCAUGAUCACCAACUACACCACACAUCUCAAGGUGAGCUUCCUUCCUCAGCGAGACGAUCGAUGUUGGCUCUGUUGGCUACCGUGACGAGCUUGCGCUCUUCUUUCAUGGCACAGGCGCUGUACGAUCUGGGAGCGAGGAAGUUCGCGCUCAUCAACGUGCCGCCGGUCGGGUGCUGCCCCAUUUCGCGAGUCAGGCAUCCCUUGGGAGCGUGCCUCGAUGGAUUGAACACCUUGACCAAGGGCUUCAACGACAGAGUCAGCGUCCUCGUGAAGAAUCUUAGCUCGGAGAUGGAAGGGAUGAAGUACACGAUCGGGAACUCGUACAACGUCGUCAUGAGCAUAGUUUCUGACCCCGCAGGAGUCGGUAAGCUCGGAUCGACAUCACAUGUGGCGAAGAGAUGGAUGGGAAGUGGCUAAAUCGUGUACUGAGUGAGUGUUGCUGCUG